ACUUGGAUAACUCAGGUGGUGGAGCAUGUGACUCUUAAUCUCAGGGUUGUGGGUUCGAGCCCUAUGUUGAGUG